rnacentral:tRNA from 1 species
GGGGGUGUAGCUCUGUGGUAGAGCACUUGCCUAGCAUGAACAAUGCCCUGGGUUCAACCUCCAGCACCACUA